GUGGGACUUGAGCUUGGUGUAGUAGUCGGAGAACUUGUUGUAGAGGAUGGAGAUGGGCAUGCCGUUCAGGAUGACGCCGAACGAGAUGCAGGCGAAGGCGAAGACGCGGCCCAGCGAUGCUGUCAGUGAGGGAAACAUCUGCCUGAUUCUGGGCCAAGAAGCAGAUUACUCUGCUGCCCAUCUGUCAAGACGACGGCAUCAUGUGGGUCAGAUGGACUCGGGGUCAGGCAGCAGAUUACUGACUUAAAACCUCAGGUGGAAAAAAUCACCAGCAAAAAUAAAGACGAAUAACUGGAACAUUA